GGGUGCGAUCAUACCAGCAUUAAUGUACCAGAUCCCAUCAGAACUCCGCAGUUAAGCACGCUUGGGCUAGAAUAGUAUUGGGAUGGGUGACCUCCAGGGAAGUCCUAUUGUUGCACCCU
rfam:Picea glauca, whole genome shotgun sequence.